CACGUAGGGGGCAAGCGUUGUCCGGAUUUAUUGGGCGUAAAGAGCUCGUAGGCGGUUCGGUAAGUCGGGUGUGAAACCUCCAGGCUCAACCUGGAGACGCCACCCGAUACUGCUGUGACUAGAGUCCGGUAGGGGAGCGUGGAAUUCCUGGUGUAGCGGUGAAAUGCGCAGAUAUCAGGAGGAACACCGGUGGCGAAGGCGGUUCUCUGGGCCUUACCUGACACUGAGGAGCGAAAGCGUGGGGAGCGAACAGG
rnacentral:rRNA from 1 species